UAAAAAUUUUGAGACAUUUACCUUCCGACGAUAGGGCUCCCCAUAAACCCGAAUAACGGUAAAUAGUAGACACGUUGUGAUUCCGAUGACUAAAAUUCACAAACCAAAAUUCGACCGUCAGAUAUGAUCAUUAUGACGAAAGAUGUCUAUGGUAAAAAAUUCAACUGGAUUCGACAACGUUAAGGGCUCGAUCGAAACUGUCAACUCUAAUCGAAAAUAAGAAAACUGCAUUUUCAAGCCCUAAACGGACUCGGAUGGCCAAAAAAGCCUAUACAUCAUGGCAUUAGCGAUGAGUCUGACUCGUAGCGCCGUUACGCUUCCGGAAAGGUAUCACAAUAGUCAAUCAGACACCAAACACCAAAUCUGCAGCAUAGUGAAUAGUAAGGGUAAGUCAACUAUCGGCACCGAGACUUUACCGGAAUACUGUGUAUUUUUCAACCGUAGUCGUAUUUCACCGUUCUGGUCAUAUCUUAUUUCACGACUUUUUUGCGUUUGAAGGUUCUACGUAUAGUUUUUUUUUCUCAGAUGAGUUGUUGUCUAGAUCUGCAAAUAUAAGGCACUUUAGCCGACGAAAUUAUAUUUUUUCGUCGGCUAAAGUUUAAAAAUUUCGUCGGCUAAAGUUUAAAAAUUUCGUCGGCUAAAGUCCACUUUAGCCGACUAAUUUUUUUCGUCGGUUAAACUUUUAAAAAUUUCGUCGGCUAAAGUUCACAGACUAUAGCCGACGAAAAA
rnacentral:lncRNA from 1 species